CAGAUAACUCGACAGAUUUUAAUGUGGUAUAUCAAAUUUGUUGAAUUUGUAAUAUCCAAUUUGUUCCCUUUAGGAAAAGCAGAAAAAGCAAAACAAAACAAAAUGAAAAUAACAACAAAAAACCUCUUAUCUAUAAUUGUCUACAGAGCAUCAUAAGAAAUGCACUUGAUUAUAUUUCUACACUGAUGAACAUAUUUUUAUCAGAAAGCAUUUUUACCAAUUUAUUGAAUCCAUUCCUGCUUGCAGGUCUAUUUCUUGGCUGUCAGCAGAAUAAUUUAUUUUAACUUCUCAAGGCCACUCUGCUUAGAGAUGAUAAAAUUGUAUCACCUAGAUGCAGGUAUUUUAAGUUGUCUUAAUGAGCCUCCGAUUCCUACCCCAACGGCACUCUAAAAUCAUUCACCUGGCUGCAUUAGAGCAAGGCAUCCAGUUGGAACAGGAGAAAGAAGAGUAAUUUUGUCACAGCUGGACUGCUAACAAUACAGAUGUGCCAUACGGAAAGUUCCAUAUGGACUUCAAAACUCACAUUGUUCUAAACGGUGUGAGAAUUUCAGCAGAAAUGAAAAAGACAGCAGGGACCAGAGUCACUGCAAAGGUAUUACAACACUGUGCAAAGAAACACAAGACAAGAGGCCAUCUUACUCCUUUAGAAGAGUUUGAAAAUUUGACUGUGUCUUGGCCAGCACUGAGAAAAAAAAGUGCAAUAAAAGGAUUCUGUUAAAAUCUGCAGAAGCUGAGAUCCAGCCAAAAGCAAGGCAGCAUGAAAAUAAGGAUUUUCCAUCCCUUGCUGCUUCUUGUC
rnacentral:lncRNA from 1 species